rnacentral:tRNA from 1 species
UGGCUCAGCUGGUAAAGUGUGGCGCUUUCAACGCCAGGGUUGUGGGUUUGAUUCCCAC